rnacentral:rRNA from 1 species
CACGUAGGGCGCAAGCGUUGUCCGGAAUUAUUGGGCGUAAAGAGCUCGUAGGCGGUCUGUUGCGUCUGCUGUGAAAACCCGGGGCUUAACCCCUGGCUUGCAGUGGAUACGGACAGACUAGAGGUAGGUAGGGGGAUGGAAUUCCGCGUGUAGCAGUGAAAUGCGUAGAUAUGCGGAGGAACACCGAUGGCGAAGGCAAUCCCCUGGGCCUGCACUGACGCUCAUGCACGAAAGCGUGGGGAGCAAACAGG